rnacentral:ncRNA from 1 species
AAUCUCAACACAGGAAACCUCACCCAGCCUGGACACGGACAGGAUUGACAGAUUGAUAGCUUUCUCAAUUCUGUGGGUGGUGCUGCAUGGCCAUUCUUUGUCUGGUUAAUUCCGAUAACAAACGAGACUUUGAAAUGCUAACUAGUAGAGACGGGGUUUCACCAUGUUGGCCAGGCUAGUCUCAAACUUCUGACCUCAAGUGAUCCACCUGCCUCAGCCUCCCAACAUGCUGGGAUUACAGGCGUGAGCCUCAGCGCCCAGCCCCUCCCUCUAUUUUAUAGACAUGGAAACGGAGGUAUGGGGGAAGUUAAGUGACUUUGGAUACACUGCUAAAAACCAGUGUAUCUCAAAUGCAAUGGAAACAUGGCCUUGCCUCAGAGGGUUAGGACU